CACGUAGGGGGCGAGCGUUGUCCGGAUUUAUUGGGCGUAAAGAGCUCGUAGGCGGCUCAGUAAGUCGGGUGUGAAAUUUCGAGGCUUAACCUCGAAACGCCACCCGAUACUGCUGUGGCUAGAGUCCGGUAGGGGAGCGUGGAAUUCCUGGUGUAGCGGUGAAAUGCGCAGAUAUCAGGAGGAACACCGGUGGCGAAGGCGGGUCUCUGGGCCGAUACUGACGCUGAGGAGCGAAAGCGUGGGGAGCGAACAGG
rnacentral:rRNA from 1 species